rnacentral:rRNA from 1 species
AUUGAACGCUGGCGGCAGGCCUAACACAUGCAAGUCGAACGAGUGGCGGACGGGUGAGUAAUGUCUGGGAAACUGCCCGAUGGAGGGGGAUAACUACUGGAAACGGUAACUAAUACCGCAUACCAUCGGAUGUGUCCAGAUGGGAUUAGCUUGUAGGUGGGGUAACGGCUCACCUCGGCGACGAUCCCUAGCUGGUCUGAGAGGAUGACCAGCGAAAGGGGAACUGAGAAACGGGCAGGACUGCUACGGGAGGCAUCGGUGGGGAAUAUUGCACAAUGGGCGCAAGACGGAUGCAGCCAUGCCGCGUGUAUGAAGAAGGCCUUCGGGUUGUAAAGUACGUUCAGCGGGGAGGCGUUACCCGCAGAAGAAGCACCGGCUAACUCCGUGCCAGCAGCCGCGGUAAUAC